CUGCACUGUAAAGCAAUCAUUGUACGUGCAAGAUUGCAACAUGAAGUUAACAUUGUUGUGUCUGAUUGUGCUAAUCGUGGUUGCCGCCUUGGUUCAGGAGUCUGAACAUGGUAUACAUAUAUUUGGUAGGAAACUUGAAUAGGAUAACAACAACAACAACAACAACAACAACAGCUGAACCAGACAAGCAAUGAAUUAACAUCUAAAAAAAUAAAAAAAUUUAAUUGCUGCAUAGAAUAGUAAUGUCAAAAUGCUAAAACACAAUGCUUCAUAAGCACAUCCCUUAUAGUUCUACUGCACUAAAAAACAAAAUGUCACUUGGAAUUCCUAAUAAAAAUUGUGUACAAUAAA